rnacentral:misc_RNA from 1 species
GCUAACCGUCAUGACGCUGUCUUCUCACUGUGCCUCCCGUGUGCCCGCGUGGCCCGGGAGGGUCGCUUGUUUUUCGGUCGUCUGUGUGGUUCUACCCUAGUUUGGGUACGACAUUCGGUUCCAUGAUGGAUAUUUGCUUGCCCCGUUGAUAUUCGUAUCAUCGGUGUAGCCGACUUGCGGGCUUAAUUCAUGUGUUGCAGUGGGCGUGGGCCUCGGCACUGCACUUGGAUUUUGUCGGCUCUCACGGAUGCCGUGUCCUUUGAGGAACUUUGGGCCUCCGGUCCCUCGAUUCCCACGGGAAGUCCCUUGCAUUGGAUCAUUACUCCGCCGCUUCGCUAUCUUGUUGUGGGUGUUGGGAUGUCGGCGCGGUGCGUGCGGGGCGUGCUCYUGUGCAAGUGAGAUGUUUGUCCGAUCGAAUGAGCGAUUGUCGCGCGUCGUUCCACAGCGUCGUGGCGGCACUCGUUUAAGACGUGCUACCUGGUUGAUCCUGCCAGUAGUCA